rnacentral:rRNA from 1 species
GAUGAACGCUGGCGGCGUGCCUAAUACAUGCCAGUCGAGCGAACGGACGAGAAGCUUGCUUCUCUGAUGUUAGCGGCGGACGGGUGAGUAACACGUGGAUAACCUACCUAUAAGACUGGGAUAACUUCGGGAAACCGGAGCUAAUACCGGAUGAUAUUUUGAACCGCAUGGUUCAAAAGUGAAAGACGGUCUUGCUGUCACUUAUAGAUGGAUCCGCGCUGCAUUAGCUAGUUGGUAAGGUAACGGCUUACCAAGGCAACGAUGCAUAGCCGACCUGAGAGGGUGAUCGGCCACACUGGAACUGAGACACGGUCCAGACUCCUACGGGAGGCAGCAGUAGGGAAUCUUCCGCAAUGGGUGAAAGCCUGACGGAGCAACGCCGCGUGAGUGAUGAAGGUCUUCGGAUCGUAAAACUCUGUUAUUAGGGAAGAACAUAUGUGUAAGUAACUGUGCACAUCUUGACGGUACCUAAUCAGAAAGCCACGGCUAACUACGUG